AGUAAUGUCUGGGAAACUGCCCGAUGGAGGGGGAUAACUACUGGAAACGGUAGCUAAUACCGCAUAACGUCUACGGACCAAAGUGGGGGACCUUCGGGCCUCACACCAUCGGAUGUGCCCAGAUGGGAUUAGCUGGUAGGUGGGGUAAUGGCUCACCUAGGCGACGAUCCCUAGCUGGUCUGAGAGGAUGACCAGCCACACUGGAACUGAGACACGGUCCAGACUCCUACGGGAGGCAGCAGUGGGGAAUAUUGCACAAUGGGCGCAAGCCUGAUGCAGCCAUGCCGCGUGUGUGAAGAAGGCCUUCGGGUUGUAAAGCACUUUCAGCGAGGAGGAAGGCGUUGCAGUUAAUAACUGCAGCGAUUGACGUUACUCGCAGAAGAAGCACCGGCUAACUCCGUGCCAGCAGCCGCGGUAAUACGGAGGGUGCAAGCGUUAAUCGGAAUUACUGGGCGUAAAGCGCACGCAGGCGGUCUGUUAAGUCAGAUGUGAAAUCCCCGGGCUUAACCUGGGAACUGCAUUUGAAACUGGCAGGCUAGAGUCUCGUAGAGGGGGGUAGAAUUCCAGGUGUAGCGGUGAAAUGCGUAGAGAUCUGGAGGAAUACCGGUGGCGAAGGCGGCCCCCUGG
rnacentral:rRNA from 1 species